rnacentral:rRNA from 1 species
UGGGGAAUAUUGGACAAUGGGCGCAAGCCUGAUCCAGCCAUGCCGCGUGAGUGAUGAAGGCCCUAGGGUUGUAAAGCUCUUUCACCGGUGAAGAUAAUGACGGUAACCGGAGAAGAAGCCCCGGCUAACUUCGGGCCAGCAGCCGCGGUAAUACGAAGGGGGCUAGCGUUGUUCGGAUUUACUGGGCGUAAAGCGCACGUAGGCGGACUUUUAAGUCAGGGGUGAAAUCCCGGGGCUCAACCCCGGAACUGCCUUUGUUACUGGAAGUCUUGAGUAUGGUAGAGGUGAGUGGAAUUCCGAGUGUAGAGGUGAAAUUCGUAGAUAUUCGGAGGAACACCAGUGGCGAAGGCGGCUCACUGGACCAUUACUGACGCUGAGGUGCGAAAGCGUGGGGAGCAAACAGG